CUGAAUCAGUGUGUGUGUUAGUGGAAGCGUCUGGAAAGGCGCGCGAUACAGGGUGACAGCCCCGUACACAAAAAUGCACAUGCUGUGAGCUCGAUGAGUAGGGCGGGACACGUGGUAUCCUGUCUGAAUAUGGGGGGACCAUCCUCCAAGGCUAAAUACUCCUGACUGACCGAUAGUGAACCAGUACCGUGAGGGAAAGGCGAAAAGAACCCCGGCGAGGGGAGUGAAAAAGAACCUGAAACCGUGUACGUACAAGCAGUGGGAGCACAGAGCAAUCUGUGUGACUGCGUACCUUUUGUAUAAUGGGUCAGCGACUUAUAUUCUGUAGCAAGGUUAACCGAAUAGGGGAGCCGAAGGGAAACCGAGUCUUAACUGGGCGUUAAGUUGCAGGGUAUAGACCCGAAACCCGGUGAUCUAGCCAUGGGCAGGUUGAAGGUUGGGUAACACUAACUGGAGGACCGAACCGACUAAUGUUGAAAAAUUAGCGGAUGACUUGUGGCUGGGGGUGAAAGGCCAAUCAAACCGGGAGAUAGCUGGUUCUCCCCGAAAGCUAUUUAGGUAGCGCCUCGUGAAUUCAUCUCCGGGGGUAGAGCACUGUUUCGGCAAGGGGGUCAUCCCGACUUACCAACCCGAUGCAAACUGCGAAUACCGGAGAAUGUUAUCACGGGAGACACACGGCGGGUGCUAACGUCCGUCGUGAAGAGGGAAACAACCCAGACCGCCAGCUAAGGUCCCAAAGUCAUGGUUAAGUGGGAAACGAUGUGGGAAGGCCCAGACAGCCAGGAUGUUGGCUUAGAAGCAGCCAUCAUUUAAAGAAAGCGUAAUAGCUCACUGGUCGAGUCGGCCUGCGCGGAAGAUGUAACGGGGCUAAACCAUGCACCGAAGCUGCGGCAGCGACGCUUAUGCGUUGUUGGGUAGGGGAGCGUUCUGUAAGCCUGCGAAGGUGUGCUGUGAGGCAUGCUGGAGGUAUCAGAAGUGCGAAUGCUGACAUAAGUAACGAUAAAGCGGGUGAAAAGCCCGCUCGCCGGAAGACCAAGGGUUCCUGUCCAACGUUAAUCGGGGCAGGGUGAGUCGACCCCUAAGGCGAGGCCGAAAGGCGUAGUCGAUGGGAAACAGGUUAAUAUUCCUGUACUUGGUGUUACUGCGAAGGGGGGACGGAGAAGGCUAUGUUGGCCGGGCGACGGUUGUCCCGGUUUAAGCGUGUAGGCUGGUUUUCCAGGCAAAUCCGGAAAACUAAGGCUGAGGCGUGAUGACGAGGCACUACGGUGCUGAAGCAACAAAUGCCCUGCUUCCAGGAAAAGCCUCUAAGCAUCAGGUAACAUCAAAUCGUACCCCAAACCGACACAGGUGGUCAGGUAGAGAAUACCAAGGCGCUUGAGAGAACUCGGGUGAAGGAACUAGGCAAAAUGGUGCCGUAACUUCGGGAGAAGGCACGCUGAUAUGUAGGUGAAG
rnacentral:rRNA from 1 species